UUUUAUUAUGUUCGUAAUCAAAGCAAACGUGCGUAUGCGUAUGUUCACGAAGCACCUCUGGAAUGGGGAUCGCAUUCAAAUAUUUAAUAUUCAAACUUUUAAAAAAGGUUUAUCCAAGAGGCACAGUUUGCUCCUUUCUCAAGUUGAGAAUUUUUGAAAGUAUUCCAUAUCACAUGUAGAUUUUACUAAAACUCAUCCUUAUCCGAACCAGCUCAUGUAUCGUAACAUUAAUAAUCCGGUAUCUCAAAAACCCACGAUAUAUCUUUGUAGAUUGUGGCAUGAGCUGUAAACGUGAUUGUUUUGCUGGUUCGAAGAUAAAAAACCAACGACACAAAGCGUUAAUAAAAUUUUUAAAUGCAUAUUCUUCUCUCACCAAUUUCUGAUAUACGCUCACUAUAUUUGUGGUUUAAAGUGCGUGUGGGGGUUCGCUAAUGACAAUGAGUGAGUGUAACUUAUUUGAUCGUUUAAACUUCACUUGUCUUUGACACGCGCCUGAUAACAAAUGAACAAUUAUGAUAGUGAAGCUGUUUGUUAUACAGGAAAAUUUCAUAUCUGGUAGUUGACCAUGCAAUGUGAAGAUACUUAGAAGAAUGGAAGCACUGUGACGAUUGCUAGUAAUGCAGUCUUCGGACAUCCUGACCCCAUGAGCCCUGAUUGCUGAAUAACUCAUAUAAGAAAACUGUAUGGUCAAAGCAAAUCAUGCAGAAUCAAUAUAUUAUGUUAUGACCUCUUUGCCACUUGAAUGAAAUUGCUGACUUUAUGUUUUCGAUUUUUGCUUCCACUUCAAUGUAACUACUAAAUAAACAUGCAAUUACAAGAUUAUCAUUAUAUUUACAUUGUGUGGGAAAGUGUAAAGGUUUCUCAAAAUGUUUUUAAACUGCAACCGGCGAUCUAUCAAUAUUUGAUACAUUAUAUUGAACAUAAAUUUAAACAACAACAUAUAUACAGGGUGGAUUUUUAUCUUGAAACGCUUAAAUAUUUCGGAAACGAGUGAUCCGAGAAAAAAAUGUUUCAAAUAAGAAGUUAAUAUCUGGGAGGGCGAAGGUUAUUCGUGUCAGAAAAACAACGCCUACUUCGACCUUGUAGGCUAGGGAGGGGUCAACUUGAGAAUUUCAAAUGGUAACCACAACAUUUUAUUGAAUAUUCGAAUAGUACGUUAAAAACUGGGAAUAAUUUAUCUAAAAAAUUUUCUUCGAUUUUGACAGGUGGCGCUGUAAUCCAAUUAUCAUUUUUUUGCUUUAGAUCACUCGUUUUCGAAAUAUUUAAGCGUUUCAAGAUAAAAAAACAGCACCCUGUAUAUCUGAUUUUAUUUUUUGUAAUGUAAAUAAUAUGAUAAUAUUUUUUGUUUCGGAUUUUUUCUCUGAUAAAAGCUUUCCAAUUAUCCGAUGGUAAAUUUGCGUAAUCUUCCAUACUCCUAUAAUGGGUUGUUUUAUAGGCUAAUUUUGGAGGCUGGAAAUGGUUGUUAACUGUUAAUUGUUGUUGUUAAUUUUAAUGCCUCAAAUAAUUUCGCGUAGGAUUAACUUUUCUUUAACAUUGAGUUUACAUUUAAUAGAAGUUUUUCGUUUUCUAUCACCUGGUGUUUAAUACGGGUAUUUUCAUGUCUAUUGUAUUUGCUGCUCGAUUAAAUUGCUAUAAGGGUCAAUGUAAUCAAUAUUCGUUUUCAGCAACUAAGACUUUAAAUUUAAUAAGAUUACUUAUAAAUACUUUACUGUUUGUUAAAAAAUUACGAAUGAUUCCAAUACUAUCCCUAAGAAUGUUUUAUUCGGUAUUAUUUAUUUUGUAAAAGUUGUACUGUAGUUGCCAUUUCAGGUUCUAAUUCAAUAACUUCUAAUGCAGUUCUUACUUUUGUUUAAUCAGUAAAAGUCAUAAAAUGAGCUUAUGUCGUACACAAUGAAUAUUUUCAAGCUUCAGCAUUUUGUGAAAAAGUCUUUAUUCCAGCAGAAAUUUGUCAGAAAACUUGAAAGCAUUAACCAAUACGGCAUUAAUUAAUUUUCCAGAACACCGGGCAUCAAUCGCAUUUUUUAGAUUAAACAGACUAAGUAUAAUUGUUUACUAAUCGUUCAAUUAAAUGAUCGAUUUUG